UACGUAGGGGGCAAGCGUUGGUCCGGAUUUAUUGGGCGUAAAGAGCGUGUAGGCGGUUAUGGCAGGUCCGCUGUGAAAACUGGAGGCUUAACCUCCAGACGUCGGUGGAAACCGUAUAACUAGAGUCCGGAAGAGGAGAGUGGAAUUCCUGGUGUAGCGGUGAAAUGCGCAGAUAUCGAUAGGAACACCAGUGGCGAAGGCGGUCUCCUGGGG
rnacentral:rRNA from 1 species